GAGAGCAAGCGGACCUCAUAAAGUGCGUCGUAGUCCGGAUUGGAGUCUGCAACUCGACUCCAUGAAGUCGGAAUCGCUAGUAAUCGUGGAUCAGAAUGCCACGGUGAAUACGUUCCCGGGCCUUGUACACACCGCCCGUCACACCAUGGGAGUGGGUUGCAAAAGAAGUAGGUAGCUUAACCUUCGGGAGGGCGCUUACCACUUUGUGAUUCAUGACUGGGGUGAAGUCGUAACAAGGUAACCGUAGGGGAACCUGCGGUUGGAUCAC
rnacentral:rRNA from 1 species